AUCCAGCAAUGAAGUAGAGACGACGGCGAAGCUUUUGGGACUAGUGUGACGGUCUCCGGUGGCUUGACUGCGGAGCUAGGCUGAGAAGAAAAUCUGGCAGAUAAUAGACUUCUUACCAUCCAUCUUCGCCUAUAUAAAGAACUUUAGCCGACGAAAUUCUUUAUUUUCGUCGGCUAAACUCUUUUGAAAAUUUUGGUUGACCGCCAAAAAAUUUUGGUUGAAAAUUUUGAAAAUUUUGAAAAUUUUUCGACUUUAGCCGACGACUUUUCAUAUAUUUUCGUCGGCUAAUGUCCUUUGAAAAUUUUCCUCCAACUUUGAUUUACCGCCUAAAAAAUUUUGAAAUUUUUUGACCUUAGCCGACGACUUUUCAUAUAUUUUCGUCGGCUAAAAUCUAUAAAUUCACGAAAACGCUCAUAUCUCCCCCUAUAUUACGUAAUUUGGUCAAACCUUCCACACCAAAAACUCUCACGUAGAUGAGACGCAAUUGCCCAUAUAAAAAUUUUGAGACAUUUACCUUCCGACGAUAGGGCUCCCCAUAAGGAAUAAUAACGGUAAAUAGGGUUGACCGCUACUAUCGGCUCCGAGACUUUACCCGAUUUACGUGAUUUUUGAACCAUAGCCGUAUUUCACCAUUUUGAAGACAUCUUAUUUCACGAGAUUUUUGAUAAUUUUGCUUCCUAUGUAGAGUUGGUUCACAAAGUUGUAUAACCUACUAAACAAGUUAUACAACAUUAGUAGACACGUUGUGAUUCCGAUGACUAAAAUUCACAAACCAAAAUUCGACCGUCAGAUAUGAUCAUUAUGACGAAAGAUGUCUAUGGUAAAAAAUUCAACUGGAUUCGACAACGUUAAGGCCUCGAUCGAAACGGUCAACUCUAAUCGAAAAUAAGAAAACUGCAUUUUCAAGCCCUAAACGGACUCGGAUAGCCAAAAAAGCCUAUGCAUCAUGGCGUUAGCGAUGAGUCAGACUCGUAGCGCCGUUACGCUUUCGGAAAGGUAUCACAAUAGUCAAUCAGACACCAAAUGCCAAAUCUGCAGCAU
rnacentral:lncRNA from 1 species